rnacentral:SRP_RNA from 1 species
GCUGGGCAUGGUGGCGCGUUCCUGUAGUCCCAGCUACUUGGGAGGCUGAGGCAGGAGAAUCGCUUGAACCCAGGAGGUGGAGGUUGCAGUGAGCCAUGAUUGUGCCACUGCACUCCAACCUGGGCAACAGAGUGAGACUUUGUCUCAA